UACGAAGGGGGCGAGCGUUGUUCGGAUUUACUGGGCGUAAAGGGCGCGCAGGCGGUUCUGUUUGUCGAGUGUGAAAGCCCCGGGCUCAACCUGGGAACUGCGCUCGAAACGGCGGAACUAGAGUUCGGGAGAGGAGAGUGGAAUUCCCAGUGUAGAGGUGAAAUUCGUAGAUAUUGGGAAGAACACCGGUGGCGAAGGCGGCUCUCUGGACCGAUACUGACGCUGAGGCGCGAAAAGCGUGGGGGAGCAAACAGG
rnacentral:rRNA from 1 species